UAAUAGUGUAUAUUAAAGUUGUUGCAGUUAAAAGGCUCGUAGUUGAAUGUUGGUGUCGAACGAGCGGUCAGCUUCGGCUGUACUGCUCUCUCGACUCCUUCCUUCUGUGGACUACGUCGCACUUUACUGUGUGGCGCUAGGACGCAGAUCGUUUACUGUGAAAAAAUUAGAGUGUUCAAAGCAGGCCGUACGCUUGAAUACAUUAGCAUGGAAUAAUGGAAUAGGACGUCGGGCCUAUUUUGUUGGUUCUAGGACCGUCGUAAUGAUUAAUAGGGACAGUUGGGGCCGUUUAUAUUCCGUAGUCAGAGGUGAAAUUCUUGGAUUUACGGAAGAUAAACUACUGCGAAAGCAUUCGGCAAGGAUGUUUUCGUUAA
rnacentral:rRNA from 1 species